AAAACGACUCUCGGCAACGGAUAUCUCGGCUCUCGCAUCGAUGAAGAACGUAGCGAAAUGCGAUACUUGGUGUGAAUUGCAGAAUCCCGUGAACCAUCGAGUCUUUGAACGCAAGUUGCGCCCAAGCCUUCUGGCCGAGGGCACGUCUGCCUGGGUGUCACAA
rnacentral:rRNA from 1 species